rnacentral:rRNA from 1 species
UAGGGAAUCUUCCGCAAUGGGCGAAAGCCUGACGGAGCAACGCCGCGUGAGUGAUGAAGGUCUUCGGAUCGUAAAACUCUGUUAUUAGGGAAGAACAAAUGUGUAAGUAACUAUGCACGUCUUGACGGUACCUAAUCAGAAAGCCACGGCUAACUACGUGCCAGCAGCCGCGGUAAUACGUAGGUGGCAAGCGUUAUCCGGAAUUAUUGGGCGUAAAGCGCGCGUAGGCGGUUUUUUAAGUCUGAUGUGAAAGCCCACGGCUCAACCGUGGAAGGUCAUUGGAAACUGGAAAACUUGAGUGCAGAAGAGGAAAGUGGAAUUCCAUGUGUAGCGGUGAAAUGCGCAGAGAUAUGGAGGAACACCAGUGGCGAAGGCGACUUUCUGGUCUGUAACUGACGCUGAUGUGCGAAAGCGGGGGGAUCAAACAGG